GGGAAAGAAGAACCCAUCAGCAAUUAUAUCGUCUCCCUCAAGGCAAGUAAAAUCUGAGAGAUGGAGAUAGAAAAUCCAGGAAUGGCUACUGAAUUAAGAAGGAGCAAGAAAGGACAAAACAAGUGUUUUUAGGAAGGUGGCAACACCUCCGGUUGGUCUAAAGGAUCUAUGGGGAAGCAGCUGCAGACCCAGUUCACUGCUCCAGGGUCCUGCCACAGCCAUAAGUCUAGAAAUGACCCAGAUCCUCAAACAGAGUUUUCCUGUGUCCCAGGAAGAGUUGCCCACUGGCCAGUUUCCUCACCUUCAGCUCAUCAGGCAAAGCGGGGAAGAAGGCAGGCUGGAGUGCCUGGAAAGGACAGAGAGGAGGCAUCCAGGUGGAGGGAGAAGAGAUCCUUACAGGUCUCUUAUGUUGGAGAAGACUUUAUAUGAUCACUUGGACCAGUAAUUGCCAAUUCUGGAUGGUCACCAGAGGGUUCUUUAAAAACAGUGGUGCCCUUGAGGAUGCCCCACUUUGGGGACCUUUGCUCUCGUCCCCUAUGCAGCAUCACCUCUCAACCUGGGGCCCGGGGAGGCUUGACCAUGAGAAGUGUCUCUUCCAUCCAGGAACCAAGGUCUGCACUGCAUCUCCAAGCCUGCAGAGAAAUGAUGUGUGACAGCCCGCCUUGACAAAUCAGCACUGCUUACAGCCCUGCCACCAGAAUGCCUUCACUCUGUCCAACUUGAAUUCCCUUUAAAGCAAUGGAAGGAAUCUGCUUUCCAAGAUCCCUUCAGAAGGAAAGAUUUGCAUUGUUUAAAGGAGAAUAAAAAUCAGAUGUCUAAGAAAAAGGAAAAAGACAAAGUCUCCUUUCAAGAAGUAACAACUCUGCCAGCUUACUCAGGUCAUGAAAUAAUGCUGUUGGCAAUGACUUUGGGGUGUUCUGUCACAGUCUCAGUACACUUUCUCCCCCCUGGGCAGUAUUUUAUAGUUACUGCUUCUACGCCCCAUUGGCUCAGACAUAAUUUAUUAUUUGUUUACAUGUUUCACUUACUCUGCUAAGGUGGAAGUCCGGUGAUGCAUUAUUACUGACAGCAUCAGUGUGUGUGUGUGUGUGUCUGUGUGUGUCUAUUUGUGUGUCAUUGAAAGACUCAAGGAGAUCUGACGGGUUCUGAACCUGCAAGUUUUCAGAGCACAAGUGGCCCCCCCAGGUCUACAAGAGCCUCCCUGGGCUCUUGGCUCAGAUCAAAUGUGUCCUAUGUCCCUGUAGUUAGUUCCUUCUACUUCUCUGAGGACCAAGACAAUUCCAGGAAGACACAGGCUCCCCGGGACUGUGACUUUCUAUUCUCUCCUUUGACUUGUCUUCCUGUGUAGUGAUCAAAGUCCUCCCAUUUCUGGGGGGAACGUCACAGUUUACACAGCACUUUCUUCACGACAAUAGCAUGAAGAAAAUAAUACCUGCCCUUUAUCUCCACAUGAGACACAGACAGGUCAAGGACGUGUGCAAGUUCAAAGAGCAAGAGUGGAAUCCAGCCCGAACCAGCACCCCAUGAUGGAAGGGGAAUGACCGUGGCUGGCCCAGUCACUUACAGCUCUU
rnacentral:lncRNA from 1 species